GGGUUGUGAGGUUAAGCGACUAAGCGUACACGGUGGAUGCCCUGGCAGUCAGAGGCGAUGAAGGACGUGCUAAUCUGCGAUAAGCGUCGGUAAGGUGAUAUGAACCGUUAUAACCGGCGAUUUCCGAAUGGGGAAACCCAGUGUGAUUCGUCACACUAUCAUUAACUGAAUCCAUAGGUUAAUGAGGCGAACCGGGGGAACUGAAACA
rnacentral:rRNA from 1 species